CCUACGGGAGGCAGCAGUGAGGAAUAUUGGUCAAUGGACGAGAGUCUGAACCAGCCAAGUAGCGUGAAGGAUGACUGCCCUAUGGGUUGUAAACUUCUUUUAUAUGGGAAUAAAACGUUCCACGUGUGGGAUUUUGUAUGUACCAUAUGAAUAAGGAUCGGCUAACUCCGUGCCAGCAGCCGCGGUAAUACGGAGGAUCCGAGCGUUACCCGGAUUUAUUGGGUUUAAAGGGAGCGUAGGUGGAUUGUUAAGUCAGUUGUGAAAGUUUGCGGCUCAACCGUAAAAUUGCAGUUGAAACUGGCAGUCUUGAGUACAGUAGAGGUGGGCGGAAUUCGUGGUGUAGCGGUGAAAUGCUUAGAUAUCACGAAGAACUCCGAUUGCGAAGGCAGUUCACUGGACUGCAACUGACACUGAGGCUCGAAAGUGUGGGUAUCAAACAGGAUUAGAUACCCUUGUAGUC
rnacentral:rRNA from 1 species